UCAGUCAGUGUGUGUGUUUACUGAUAUACGCUGAAAUGUGUGUGAGACUGUGAGGGCGCGGGAAGAAAGUGCACGCGCAGCACCAUGGGUGCGUGAGUUCAUCAUCCGCAAUCAUCUUCUCUCUCUCUCUGUCUCUCACACACACACACACACACACGGUCUGUAAUUCACUCCAUACACGGAAGCCGCGGCAGGUAACCGGUGGGAGACACAGCGGCACAUAGUCCCCCCGUGCGCGUUCCCGCGCCCACGUGUGCGCGCGUGUCGGAGCUCAGAGAGGCUCUUUCCGAGGCGACUUGACGGCGGUUCGCGGGACGUCGCUGCGAGGUAACAGCGGAUUACAGCGGUACAACAGAGUAAUUUUUACUGUCUGGUGCGAAACGAGUUAUAGACGUGCAGCUUGAAUAAGAGUUGCCUGCGUUCGCGUGGGAAAUGGAAGUCACGUGAGGUGGUGCGUCUGCAGCAACCCUUAGUGGUCCACGGUCUCGCGCUCAGGGGCGCCACCCGACUGCUGACUGACUGAUGACUCCUGAUCGAUAGGUGACUCCUGAUCCACCGGGGACUCCUGGCUGAACUGAGAUCCAGCUGCUGCCUUUGGACCCGAAGGCUGCGGGUGCGA